UACGGAGGGUGCAAGCGUUAUCCGGAUUCACUGGGUUUAAAGGGUGCGUAGGCGGGCAGGUAAGUCCGUGGUGAAAUCUCUGAGCUUAACUCAGAAACUGCCAUGGAUACUAUUUGUCUUGAAUAUUGUGGAGGCAAGCGGAAUAUGUCAUGUAGCGGUGAAAAUGCUUAGAUAUACAUAGAAACACCCAUGCGAAGGCAGCUUGCUACACAAUGAUUGACGCUGAGGCACGAAAGCGUGGGGAUCAAACAGG
rnacentral:rRNA from 1 species